AUUGAACGCUGGCGGAAUGCUUUACACAUGUAAGUCGAACGGCAGCACGGACUUCGGUCUGGUGGCGAGUGGCGAACGGGUGAGUAAUGUAUCGGAACGUGCCCAGUCGUGGGGGAUAACGUAGUGAAAAUUACGCUAAUACCGCAUACGAUCUAUGGAUGAAAGCGGGGGAUCGCAAGACCUCGCGCGAUUGGAGCGGCCGAUAUCAGAUUAGGUAGUUGGUGGGGUGAAGGCCCACCAAGCCAACGAUCUGUAGCUGGUCUGAGAGGACGACCAGCCACACUGGAACUGAGACACGGUCCAGACUCCUACGGGAGGCAGCAGUGGGGAAUUUUGGACAAUGGGCGAAAGCCUGAUCCAGCCAUUCCGCGUGCAGGAUGAAGGCCCUCGGGUUGUAAACUGCUUUUGUACAGAACGAAAAGGUUUCUACUAAUACUAGGAGCUCAUGACGGUACUGUAAGAAUAAGCACCGGCUAACUACGUGCCAGCAGCCGCGGUAA
rnacentral:rRNA from 1 species